AGUCACUGACAUUAGAUACCCGUGUAGUCCUAGCUGUAAACGAUGCGGACUUGGUGUUGGGGUGGCUUUGAGCUGUCCCAGUGCCGAAGGGAAGCUGUUAAGUCCGCCGCCUGGGAAGUACGGUCGCAAGACUGAAACUUAAAGGAAUUGGCAGGGAGCACCACAACGCGUGGAGCCUGCGGUUUAAUUGGAUUCAACGCCGGACAUCUCACCAGAGGCGACAGCUGUAUGAUAGCCAGGUUGAUGACUUUGCUUGACUAGCUG
rnacentral:rRNA from 1 species